rnacentral:rRNA from 1 species
AGAACGAACGCUGGCGGCAUGCCUAACACAUGCAAGUCGAACGCCCCGCAAGGGGGAGUGGCGGACGGGUGAGUAACACGUGGGAACCUGCCCAAUGGUCUGGAAUAACCGCGGGAAACUGCGGCUAAUACCGGAUAAGCCCGAGAGGGGAAAGAUUUAUCGCCGAUGGAGGGGCCCGCGUCCGAUUAGGUAGUUGGUGGGGUAAUGGCCUACCAAGCCUACGAUCGGUAGCUGGUCUGAGAGGAUGAUCAGCCACACUGGGACUGAGAUACGGCCCAGACUCCUACGGGAGGCAGCAGUGGGGAAUUUUGCGCAAUGGGGGAAACCCUGACGCAGCAACGCCGCGUGGAGGAUGAAGUCCCUUGGGACGUAAACUCCUUUCGAUCGGGACGAUUAUGACGGUACCGGAAGAAGAACGCCCGGCUAACUUCGCGCCAGCAGCCGC